CCUACGGGAGGCAGCAGUGAGGAAUAUUGGUCAAUGGGCGAGAGCCUGAACCAGCCAAGUCGCGUGAGGGAGUACUGCCCUAUGGGUUGUAAACCUCUUUUGUCGGGGAGCAAAAGCCGGACGUGUCCGGCUGUGAGAGUACCCGAAGAACAAGCAUCGGCUAACUCCGUGCCAGCAGCCGCGGUAAUACGGAGGAUGCGAGCGUUAUCCGGAUUUAUUGGGUUUAAAGGGUGCGCAGGCGGAUUUUUAAGUCAGCGGUAAAAUCGUGGGGCUCAACCCCAUCCAGCCGUUGAAACUGGGGAUCUAGAGUGUGCGAGAGGUAUGCGGAAUGCGUGGUGUAGCGGUGAAAUGCAUAGAUAUCACGCAGAACCCCGAUUGCGAAGGCAGCAUACCGGUGCACAACUGACGCUCAGGCACGAAAGCGUGGGUAUCGAACAGGAUUAGAUACCCGUGUAGUC
rnacentral:rRNA from 1 species